UACGUAGGGUGCGAGCGUUUGUCCGGAAUUAUUGGGCGUAAAGAGCUCGUAGGCGGUGUGUCACGUCGGCCGUGAAAACCUGCAGCUUAACUGUGGGCGUGCGGUCGAUACGGGCAUCACUGGAGUUCGGCAGGGGAGACUGGAAUUCCUGGUGUAGCGGUGAAAUGCGCAGAUAUCAGGAGGAACACCCGUGGCUAAGGCGGCUCUCUAGUACGGUACUGACGCUGAGACGCGAAAGCGUGGGGAGCGAACAGG
rnacentral:rRNA from 1 species